rnacentral:rRNA from 1 species
GACAGAGGGUGCAAACGUUGUUCGGAAUUACUGGGCGUAAAGCGCGUGUAGGCGGCAAUACAAGUCGGAUGUGAAAUCCCGCGGCUUAACCGUGGAAGUGCACCCGAAACUGUAUCGCUAGAGUCCCGGAGAGGAUGGUGGAAUACUUGGUGUAGAGGUGAAAUUCGUAGAUAUCAAGUGGAACACCGGUGGCGAAGGCGGCCAUCUGGACGGUGACUGACGCUGAGACGCGAAAGCGUGGGUGGCAAACAGG